AUUGAACGCUGGCGGCAGGCCUAACACAUGCAAGUCGAACGAGUGGCGGACGGGUGAGGAAUGUCUGGGAAACUGCCUGAUGGAGGGGGAUAACUACUGGAAACGGUAGCUAAUACCGCAUACCAUCAGAUGUGCCCAGAUGGGAUUAGCUAGUUGGUGGGGUAACGGCUCACCAAGGCGACGAUCCCUAGCUGGGCUGAGAGGAUGAACAACCACACUGUGACUGAGACACGGUCCAGACUCCUACGAGAAGCAGCAGUUGAGACUAUUGCACAAUGGGCGCAAGCCUGAUGAGGCCAUGCCGCGUGGAUGAAGAAGGCCUUCGGGUUGUAAAGUACUUUCAGCGGGGAGGCAUUCCCCGCAGAAGAAGCCCCGACUAACUCCGUGCCAGCAGCCGCGGUAAUAC
rnacentral:rRNA from 1 species